GACAGAGGGUGCAAACGUUGCUCGGAAUUACUGGGCGUAAAGCGCGUGUAGGCGGGCUGAUAAGUCAGAGGUGAAAUCCCCGGGCUCAACUCGGGAACUGCAUUUGAAACUGUCAGUCUGGAGUACUGGAGAGGAAAGCGGAAUUCCUGGUGUAGAGGUGAAAUUCGUAGAUAUCAGGAGGAACACCGGUGGCGAAGGCGGCUUUCUGGACAGUUACUGACGCUGAGACGCGAAAGCGUGGGGAGCAAACAGG
rnacentral:rRNA from 1 species